UACGUAGGGAGCAAGCGUUGUCCGGAAUCAUUGGGCGUAAAGCGCGCGUAGGCGGCCCCGUAAGUCCGCUGUGAAAGUCAAAGGCUCAACCUUUGAAAGCCGGUGGAUACUGUGGGGCUAGAGUCCGGAAGAGGAGAGUGGAAUUCCUGGUGUAGCGGUGAAAUGCGCAGAUAUCAGGAAGAACACCCGUGGCGAAGGCGGCUCUCUGGGACGGUACUGACGCUGAGACGCGAAAGCGUGGGGAGCGAACAGG
rnacentral:rRNA from 1 species